rnacentral:rRNA from 1 species
CUGCAUGGCUGUCGUCAGCUCGUGUCGUGAGAUGUGGGUUAAGUCCCGCAACGAGCGCAACCCUGCAUUCAGUUGCCAUCGGUAAGGCCGGGCACUCUGGAUGGACUGCCGGCGACAAGCCGGAGGAAGUGGGGACGACGUCAAGUCAUCAUGGCCCUUAUGUCCAGGGCGACACACGUGCUACAAUGGCCGGCACAACGGGAAGCGAAGGGGCGACCCUGAGCGGAUCCCACAAAAGCCGGUCUCAGUUCGGAUUGCAGUCUGCAACUCGACUGCAUGAAGUUGGAAUCGCUAGUAAUCGUGGAUCAGCCAAGCCGCGGUGAAUACGUUCCCGGGCCUU